rnacentral:lncRNA from 1 species
UCCUCCCGCGCGGGCCACGUGAGGAGAUUCUGGAGCCUUCAGGUUGUCCCCCGUGCGCAAGCAGCAGGACGAGGCCCAGGACUUUUCGGGCCUGCACGUUUGCUGAGAGUGGUGUUCUUGUGGCGGGGGCGGAAGGUGGACGUCUUAGGAAGCCUUGCGACCCAGUCGGGACCCCCACAGGGACUCCGCAGUGCCUGGGGAUUGCCUGGACCUCGCCCGGGAAAGGAUGCAGUUUUACAAAACCAGAGGUAGCCGUCAAGUUGGAGCAAUGAAAAGGUCCAUUGUUGUUAGAGGAAGAAUUUCCAAGCAGGAGACAUGCAGGGUGAUAGUCCAGGUUGCUGAUGCCACCACCAUAAUUCAUCACCAGAGAUGGAGAAACUCUGUACCAUGAUGCCAGCUGGGCAAGGAAGAUCACUUUGCUGAGUGCUGGCAGGACUGAUUCAAUAGUUAUGCGGGCUCUGGGCUCCCGUGGCUGCCUUUAGCAUCUGGAUGCUGUAACUUGGAAGUUUGGUGUGGAGCGGUGUGAAACCUCAGAGGAUACAUGAAUAGGUCCAUAAACCUUCUCACACUGUCACCCUGGAAAUGGAACUCCAUAUGGCUGUCGGGGAGCUGCCCAAAGGCCACCUACAAGGGAUCCUAGGAAGGCUGGCCGUGUACGUCCUGGGGCCACAUUCGCAGCGUAUGGAAAUUCUUAGACUAAAGGUCAAAUUGGAGCUGCAGCUGCGGACCUACACCACAGCCAUAGCAAUGUAAGAUCUGAGCCCUGUCUGUGACCUACCCUAUAGUUCAGGGCAGUGCCGGAUCCCAAACCCACUGAGUGAGGCCAGGGAUUGAACCCUUAUUUUUAUUUUCUUCUUUGAAUGUCUGUUGAGUUUUUCAUUUUAUUGACUAUAAAUUUUAUUUUCUAUUUGUCUCUUUUUUCUUUUUUUGGCUUUUUAGGGCCACCUCUGUGGCAUGUGGAAGUUCCCAGGCUAGGGGUGGAAUCAGAGCUACAGCUGCCGGACUACACCACAGCCAUAGCAACUGGGUUAAGGAUCCGGCAUUGCUGUAAGCUGUGGUGUAGGUCAUAGAUGUGGCUCAGAUCUGGCAUUACUGUGGCUGUGGUGCAGGUCGGUGGCUCCAGCUCCCAUUCGACCCUAGCCUGGGAACCUCCAUAUGCUGUGGGUAUAGCCCAAAAAAGAGAAAGAAAAAAGAAAAAGUUUCCUUUGAUGGUCAUCUGUCUGAGACCAGGUGGCAAGAUUUUCACACUUUGUCAUUGAAUCUUUCCCUGCCAUCCAGCUUCACCUUGACAAGCAUGUCUGACCACUCCACUGCUAUGGAGAUCACUGACUGUGUGGAGUAAUGACAAGCCUACUGAAGAUGACUGGGUGCAUUAGACAGUUUACAGUGGCUCAACCUAUGUAGAUGCUGAAUUCAGUCCAUUUUCUACAUCUAGUGAUGUGUCCCAGUGAUUGAUUUUGGCAUCAAAACAGAAAUCCUUCUCUUUCUUAACUUGCUAUUCACGCAUCAUCUUCCAGUGGCAAGUGCUGACAAUGACAGAUGCCACCUUCACCACAGCUUGGUUCUUGGCUAAAGUCCCCUCCUCUUAGCUUAUGAGCCCUGCCUUGGGAGAAAGUGUUUGCAAUGUGCCUAGGCCUCAGCUGGAUCCCAGCAGUUGCUUGGCCUAAGAGCUGGGACCCUUUCCCCACAUGCCAGCUGGCGAGCAUAAUCAGUGGUUGUGCACCCUAGGUGUCUUGAUCAGAUGCUUCAUUUUGGCCAGGGUUUUUACUCUCCUGCUUCCUAGGCAAGUCGCUAUAUCCAUAAACUUGACUUAACAAGUCCAUUUUUCUUUUUUCUUACCUGAUCCAAAACACCUCCCAGUAGAUUUUUCAUAUAUAUUAAAAAAUCAGUAAGUAAACUGCUGCCUGUAGAAUUUUGCCUCUAAAGCAACAGGAUCCUUCCAAAAAUCUAAUGUAAACACAAACUGUUGCAUUCUUAAUGAAAAGCCAUUCUUCUGGGUGCUGUGGGUGCUUCGGUGCACCAGUCCCUGCUAGAUGCUGCCUGAGGUCCCCAUUGCUUCUGCACACGUGGACACACCCUGCAGCUCUGAUGGCCCUGGAGGGGGCGUAGCUUCCUGAAUUGUAUUCUCAUUGCACUGGUGUUUGCAGGUGAAUGGGGAAAAUGUUCACUCACCUCCACGUUAUCUCCCUUCUGCCUGCAAGCUGAAACUCAGGGUUGAUGAGGCCCCUCUGAAUUUCAGAGUUUGAUGAAACAGAUUUUCUAGAGUUUAUUCAUGGCUCUUCUUCUCCCUGGACAGGCCACAUGUGUGCUUUGGCUGACAGUGCCCAGCCCCCAGGGCUGUUUUAGAUUCUGGUUUGAUUCCUUAGAAAAGACCAGGAAUCUGGUUCAUAUCAUGUUUUCAGAUAUUUCAAUCAUCUUGCUCAGUAAAAAGUUCUCUAACAUGUGAAUUAAAUGCAUGUUCUACGGUUCUAUAAUUUAUAUUCAUGACAAAGCUUAUGUAAGUAUAGGAAUUUUUAAAGAAGGAGAUGAAAAAGAAUCCAAAUGGAAGUUCUGAUAUUUUCUUCCUGCAUCUGGGUGUACUGUCUUCCACUCCAGUUGGUGGGCCUGAGAGGUCUCACUCUGAGAGAACCUCGGUGCCUCUCAGGUGAAGGUGAGGGGGGGGCGGGGGGAGUGGGGACAAAGCAGGGAUGAUAUCUACAGGGAUGGUUGAAGGUAUUUUUGCCUUCAACCCUCAAAAUCUGCCUGGAUGACCUUGGACUUGUAGGUGAAUUCCAGAUUCAGGGAAAGGUGUGUUUUUCAUGAUGAAGUUCUACCCAGAACGAAAUGAAUCAUGCUGUAUUGUGCUGUUUUUCAUAAAAGUUAGUACAUUGAAUUUCCUUCUCUUGUUAUUCUUUUCCUUUUAAACAUGCCAUGAAUAAAAAUAACAAACUGCU